rnacentral:rRNA from 1 species
GUGAAUUGCAGAAUUCAGUGAAUCAUCGAAUCUUUGAACGCACCUUGCGCUCUUUGGUAUUCCGAAGAGCAUGCCUGUUUGAGUGUCAUGAAAAUAUCAACCUUGACUUGGGUUUUGUGCUCUAGUCUUGGCUUGGAAUUGGGUGCUUGCCGCUUUUACGAGCGGCUCACCUUAAAUGUAUUAGCUGGAUCUGUCUUUGAGACUUGGUUUGACUUGGCGUAAUAAGUAUUUCGCUAAGGACAUUCUUCGGAGUGGCCUCGUUUCUAGGACGCUUGUCCGCUUUCCAAUACAAGUUCCACCUCGUGGACAUGACUUUUUUAUUAUCUGGCCUCAAAUCAGGUAGGACUACCCGCUGAACUUAAGCAUAUCAAUAAGCGGAGGAAAAGAAACUAACAAGGAUUCCCCUAGUAACGGCGAGUGAAGCGGGAAAAGCUCAAAUUUGAAAUCUGGCAGCCUCAGGUUGCCCGAGUUGUAAUCUAUAGAAACGUUUUCCGCGCUGGCCCAUGUACAAGUCUCCUGGAAUGGAGCGUCAUAGAGGGUGAGAAUCCCGUCCUCGACAUGGACUACCAGUGCUUUGUGAUACGUUUUCAAAGAGUCGAGUUGUUUGGGAAUGCAGCUCAAAAUGGGUGGUAAAUUCCAUCUAAAGCUAAAUAUUGGCGAGAGACCGAUAGCGAACAAGUACCGUGAGGGAAAGAUGAAAAGCACUUUGGAAAGAGAGUUAAACAGUAUGUGAAAUUGUUGAAAGGGAAACGAUUGAAG